CGGUAAUAGCUCAAAUUUGAAAUCUGGCUUCUUUGGAGCCCGAGUUGUAAUUUGUAGAGGCACUUUCGGGCACCGCCCCCAUUUAAAUUUCUUGGAACAGAAUGUCAAAGAGGGUGAGAAUCCCGUCUUGAAUGGGUGGUAGGGUCCAUGUGAAAGUCCUUCGAC
rnacentral:rRNA from 1 species